GACAGAGGUCCCGAGCGUUAGGCGGAAUCACUGGGCUUAAAGCGCACGUAGGCGGAUUUGUAAGUCAGGGGUGAAAUCCCGGGGCUCAACCUCGGAACUGCCUUUGAUACUGCAAAUCUCGAGUCCGAUAGAGGUGGGUGGAAUUCCUAGUGUAGAGGUGAAAUUCGUAGAUAUUAGGAAGAACACCGGUGGCGAAGGCGGCCCACUGGAUCGGUACUGACGCUGAGGUGCGAAAGCGUGGGGAGCAAACAGG
rnacentral:rRNA from 1 species